CAAUAGCGUAUAUUAAAGUUGUUGCAGUUAAAAAGCUCGUAGUUGGAUUUCUGGUUGGAGCGACCGGUCGGGCAUUGAUUUGUCUGCACUGGAGUCGGUUCUGGCCAUCCUCUUGGAAAGUGCGUCUGUCAUUAAGUUGUCGGGCGUAUGAUCCAGGUCUUUUACUGUGAAAAAAUUAGAGUGUUUAAAGCAGGCCUUCGCCUUGAAUACAUUAGCAUGGAAUAAUAAGAUAGGACUUUGGUCUAUUUUGUUGGUUUGCAGACCGAAGUAAUGAUUAAUAGGGAUAGUUGGGGGUAUUUAUAUUCCAAUGUCAGAGGUGAAAUUCUUAGAUUUUUGGAAGAUAAACUUAUGCGAAAGCAUUUACCAAGGAUGUUCUCAUUAA
rnacentral:rRNA from 1 species